rnacentral:rRNA from 1 species
UGGGGAAUAUUGGACAAUGGGCGAAAGCCUGAUCCAGCCAUGCCGCGUGUGUGAAGAAGGUCUUCGGAUUGUAAAGCUCUUUAAGUUGGGAGGAAGGGCAGUAAGCGAAUACCUUGCUGUUUUGACGUUACCGACAGAAUAAGCACCGGCUAACUCUGUGCCAGCAGCCGCGGUAAUACAGAGGGUGCAAGCGUUAAUCGGAAUUACUGGGCGUAAAGCGCGCGUAGGUGGUUCGUUAAGUUGAAUGUGAAAGCCCCGGGCUCAACCUGGGAACUGCAUCAACAACUGGCGAGCUAGAGUAGGGCAGAGGGUGGUGGAAUUACCUGUGUAGCGGUGAAAUGCGUCGUUAUAGGAAGGAACACCAGUGGCGAAGGAGACCACCUGGGCUCAUACUGACACUGAGGUGCGAAAGCGUGGGGAGCAAACAGG